UGGGGAAUAUUGGACAAUGGGCGAAAGCCUGAUCCAGCCAUGCCGCGUGUGUGAAGAAGGCCUUUUGGUUGUAAAGCACUUUAAGCGAGGAGGAGGCUACUUGGAUUAAUACUCUAGGAUAGUGGACGUUACUCGCAGAAUAAGCACCGGCUAACUCUGUGCCAGCAGCCGCGGUAAUACAGAGGGUGCGAGCGUUAAUCGGAUUUACUGGGCGUAAAGCGUGCGUAGGCGGCUUCUUAAGUCGGAUGUGAAAUCCCUGAGCUUAACUUAGGAAUUGCAUUCGAUACUGGGAAGCUAGAGUAUGGGAGAGGAUGGUAGAAUUCCAGGUGUAGCGGUGAAAUGCGUAGAGAUCUGGAGGAAUACCGAUGGCGAAGGCAGCCAUCUGGCCUAAUACUGACGCUGAGAUACGAAAGCAUGGGGAGCAAACAGG
rnacentral:rRNA from 1 species